UGAAAUGGACGUUUCUGCCAAAGUCAAUGAGUAAAACUGACAGUGCGGAUGACUAACCUCCAGCCCAGAGCCUUUGGCAGCUCACACCUUUGUGCAAAGCACGUUACACAGAUUGGUCCCGAGGAUUCACAGACUGGCCUAAGGCUCUGGACUCCACCUUGAUUCACCAAUUUGCCUAAAAUAUGCUACAAAAGAAACUUCUGUGUUGCAGAAGGCUUCAAGGUGCUGUUCAUGUUUUCAGAAUGAUCUGCGACAAUAUCAGGUUUGAUUGUGACCAUCCUAUAUCAGAUCUCUGAAACCUUCAGGAGUUGAGGCCUGGCUAGUGCUUGGCUAGGGAUGGGCCUGUGAGGAUGACAGCGUCCCUGUUCUCUGCUUCCCGUCGGCUGGGAUGUGAACAACCUCUGCUAUCCCUCUCCACCAUAAACUGUGCUACCACAGUCGCUUCCCUUCAGCGAUGGGCUCUGAAACAGUGAGGGGAAAUAAGCCUUUUCUUGGGUAACUUGUUUUCGUCUGGUGUUUGGUCACGGUCCACACAAAUUACUGAUAGACCAGCUGAGUCAAAGCCAAAGUACAUCUUAAGUAAUCCAAUCUCAGUGUGGCAUUUACUUCACAAUCUACAUUUGUUGUUAAGUUCU
ensembl:lincRNA Gm11375 predicted gene 11375